UAGCGAAGGGGGCUAGCGUUGCUCGGAAUCACUGGGCGUAAAGCGCACGUAGGCGGCUUCUAAGUCAGGGGUGAAAUCCUGGAGCUCAACUCCAGAACUGCCUUUGAUACUGGAGUGCUUGAGUCCGGGAGAGGUGAGUGGAACUCCGAGUGUAGAGGUGAAAUUCGUAGAUAUUCGGAAGAACACCAGUGGCGAAGGCGGCUCACUGGCCCGGUACUGACGCUGAUGUGCGAAAGCGUGGGGAGCAAACAGGG
rnacentral:rRNA from 1 species